rnacentral:rRNA from 1 species
UACGGAGGGGACUAGCGUUGUUCGGAAUUACUGGGCGUAAAGCGCACGUAGGCGGAUCUUUAAGUCAGAGGUGAAAUCCCAAGGCUCAACCUUGGAACUGCCUUUGAUACUGGGGAUCUUGAGUCCGGGAGAGGUGAGUGGAACUGCGAGUGUAGAGGUGAAAUUCGUAGAUAUUCGCAAGAACACCAGUGGCGAAGGCGGCUCACUGGCCCGGUACUGACGCUGAGGUGCGAAAGCGUGGGGAGCGAACAGG